GACGUAGGGGGCGAGCGUUGUCCGGAUUUAUUGGGCGUAAAGCGUGCGUAGGCGGCUGCGCAAGUCGGGUGUGAAAACUCUGGGCUCAACCCAGAGACGCCACCCGAUACUGCCGUGACUUGAGUCUGGUAGGGGAGUGUGGAAUUCCUAGUGUAGCGGUGAAAUGCGCAGAUAUUAGGAGGAACACCAGUGGCGAAGGCGGCACUCUGGGCCAGUACUGACACUGAGGAGCGAAAGCGUGGGUAGCGAACAGG
rnacentral:rRNA from 1 species